AUUGAACGCUGGCGGCAGGCCUAACACAUGCAAGUCGAGCGGAUGAAGGGAGCUUGCUCCUGGAUUCAGCGGCGGACGGGUGAGUAAUGCCUAGGAAUCUGCCUGGUAGUGGGGGAUAACGUCCGGAAACGGGCGCUAAUACCGCAUACGUCCUGAGGGAGAAAGUGGGGGAUCUUCGGACCUCACGCUAUCAGAUGAGCCUAGGUCGGAUUAGCUAGUUGGUGGGGUAAAGGCCUACCAAGGCGACGAUCCGUAACUGGUCUGAGAGGAUGAUCAGUCACACUGGAACUGAGACACGGUCCAGACUCCUACGGGAGGCAGCAGUGGGGAAUAUUGGACAAUGGGCGAAAGCCUGAUCCAGCCAUGCCGCGUGUGUGAAGAAGGUCUUCGGAUUGGAAAGCACUUUAAGUUGGGAGGAAGGGCAGUAAGUUAAUACCUUGCUGUUUUGACGGUACCAACAGAAUAAGCACCGGCUAACUUCGUG
rnacentral:rRNA from 1 species